rnacentral:sRNA from 1 species
GCCGGGCGUGGUGGCUCACGCCUGUAAUCCCAGCACUUUGGGAGGCCGAGGCGGGUGGAUCACCUGAGGUCGGGAGUUCAAGACCAGCCUGACCAACAUGGAGAAACCCCGACUCUA